rnacentral:rRNA from 1 species
UAGGGAAUAUUGGGCAAUGGAGGCAACUCUGACCCAGCCACGCCGCGUGAAGGAAGACGGCCCUCUGGGUUGUAAACUUCUUUUAUACAGGAAGAAAAAGGCUAUCGUGAAUAGCAACUGACGGUACUGUAAGAAUAAGGAUCGGCUAACUCCGUGCCAGCAGCCGCGGUAAUACGGAGGAUCCAAGCGUUGUCCGGAUUCAUUGGGUUUAAAGGGUGCGUAGGCGGGAUAUUAAGUCAGUGGUGAAAGC